GUCGAUGUAGUACAGCGGCAAGUACUCCCGUUUUUCACACGGGCAACAAGGGUUCGAUUCCCUUCAUCGACG
rnacentral:tRNA from 1 species